rnacentral:rRNA from 1 species
AUACGUAGGGGGCGAGCGUUGUCCGGAAUGAUUGGGCGUAAAGGGCGCGUAGGCGGCUUUGCAAGUCAGUAGUGGAAGUCCAUUUUUCAAGGAUGGAAGUGCUACAGAAACUGCGGAGCUUGAGUGCAGGAGAGGUUAUCGGAAUUCCCGGUGUAGCGGUGAAAUGCGUAGAGAUCGGGAGGAACACCAGUGGCGAAGGCGGGUAACUGGACUGCAACUGACGCUGAGGCGCGAAAGUGUGGGGAGCAAACAGGAUUAGAUACCCUGGUAGUCCACACUGUAAACGAUGAAUGCUAGGUGUAGGAGGUAUCGACCCCUUCUGUGUCGCAGUAAACACAGUAAGCAUUCCGCCUGGGGAGUACGGUCGCAAGAUUAAAACUCAAAGGAAUUGACGGGG